rnacentral:rRNA from 1 species
UACGAAGGGGGCUAGCGUUGCUCGGAAUCACUGGGCGUAAAGGGUGCGUAGGUGGGCAGGUAAGUCAGUGGUGAAAUCUCUGGGCUUAACCCGGAAACUGCCGUUGAUACUAUCUGUCUUGAAUAUAGUGGAGGUGAGCGGAAUAUGUCAUGUAGCGGUGAAAUGCUUAGAUAUGACAUAGAACAUCGAUUGCGAAGGCAGCUCGCUACACUAUGAUUGACACUGAGGCACGAAAGCGUGGGGAUCAAACAGG